rnacentral:RNase_P_RNA from 1 species
GUAGUCGCUUGAGUUAUAUCAAGAGGAAAGUCCGGACACCGUAGGGCAAAAGUGCUAGAUAACGUCUAGUGAGGGUGACCUUAAGGAAAGUGCAACAGAAAAGAACCGCCAUUUAUGGUAAGGGUGAAAAUGUGAGGUAAGAGCUCACAAGUAUGUAUAGUGAUAUAUGUACUGUGUAAACCCCACUUGGUGCAACACCAAAAAAGGAAGGUUAAGAUGGCCCGUCGUCUUCCGUGGUUGGUGGCUUGAUGCAUAUAGUGAUAUAUGUACUAGAUAAAUGACUACACACGACAGAAUCCGGCUUACAGAAAUACU